rnacentral:rRNA from 1 species
UCCUACGGGGGGCAGCAGCGGGGAAUAUUGCACAAUGGGGGAAACCCUGAUGCAGCGACGCCGCGUGAGUGAAGAAGUAUUUCGGUAUGUAAAGCUCUAUCAGCAGGGAAGAUAAUGACGGUACCUGACUAAGAAGCCCCGGCUAACUACGUGCCAGCAGCCGCGGUAAUACGUAGGGGGCAAGCGUUAUCCGGAUUUACUGGGUGUAAAGGGAGCGUAGGUGGCAGGGCAAGUCAGAUGUGAAAACCCGGGGCUCAACUCCGGGACUGCAUUGGAAACUACCGAACUAGAGUGUCGGAGAGGUA